CAGCAUGUGUGGGGGCAGGGCAUGCUCCUGCCUGAGAAAUGUAUUGGGCUGCUAGUCUCACUGGUAAAUGUCCUGGCCAGAGCCUGUCUCUGGCACCCCAGCCCUCUGCCCCCUACUCCAAUGUAAACUUCAAAGAAAUGUGUGAAAAGAUGCAGCAGCAGAAGUCCCAUUAACUAAAACCUAUUCCUGAAUGUGACUCGAUUCUUCACUGUAGUCAAACAUAGAAGUUCUGACUAGCCUGGAAAUAGAAGAUGCUGAGGUCUCUUAAAGAACCAUUGGAGUGAUUGCUACAUCUCUUGGUCUCCUUUUUUAUGCUUAGAUCAUUUUCAAGGGCCAAGAACCUUCGCUGGAAUCAAUAUCGCUGCACUGAUUUCAUGAGCACGUGAUCCAGUCUUUCGUAUUUGCAGUCCAGGUUUCGAAUAGUUAGAGACGGAGUCUAGCAUCCAUCGCCUGUUCCAGAGGCGCUGAAGAGCCUGAAGAAUCGCACUUCGCGGAAGGUGAAGUCAGCAAUUCAUCUCAGCUCUUCGUGGGACGCCUGGCUGUUCCUCUCUUGAGGUCCGGAAGGACCGACGGAUUGAGGUCGCCAGCUUCGACCCUGAGACAGCCGGCGAGGGACACCUGGUCGUUCCUCUCCUGUGGCUUUCAAAUAGCCAAGAGAUUGAAGGUCACCAGCAUCACCUCAAUCGCCCUUUCGUCGCCGCAGACUCUGUGAGUAGGUAUAGGGACCUGGAGGGACUUCCCCUUCUUGUCCGUGUAGUUUAAUAGGGGACUGCCCCCUUAUUUGUUAAUUAGAGGUAUACCAUUUUUACAAAUUCUACUGUUUGUUAAAUUUAAUCUGCUUAAUAUAGUCUUGUGGUUAUCACUGAAAACCCAAGUCUUAAGUUUUUAUUUAACGUGCCAUCUCAAUCUAAGCGCUGACACUCUGCCGGUGAUUAGAUACGGAAUAGGAGUCCCAACCUGAAAUACCAUUCCUAAGCGGAUGAGUCGGGUUAUUCAAUAACUCUCUGGGAAGUGUCUUUAAACACCUUUGACCUUCCUUAUUCUGUUCGAUAGACAGGUAACACCCAAAGGGGCUAGAAUAAUGUUUACUGGGGAAACUGAAAGCCAUUGGACCAACCUGUAAACCACUUCCAGCCAGGAGGCACAGCAGCAUCUCUGACUGUGUGUGUGUGUGUGUGUGUGUUUGUUUUAAAUACUUUUAAAUUGUGGGCUGUAGUAGAGAGUUCUUCAGCUAUUUAAUUCUGAAGAUUUUCCUAAUGUAGGCCACAAUAAAUGCACUAAAUUAAUGUUUUAGUCAUCAAAACACUGCCCUAUAUCAUUAAUAUUGAACUUGCUUUUGUCUCAGUCAGUAUUUAAUUCUUGGGUCAGUAAGUCUUGAUGUUCUCUUCAAUGCAAGUCAAUAUCUGUUUAAUAUUUCAUGAUGGAGCUAACUAGAAAGCACCAUAUAAAUUUGUUUCCUUAUGCUGUGCGAAAUGAAUGCAGAUCGUCCACAUGAUCUGUACAGAUCUUGGAAAGAAUAUUUUGAAUUCCCCAAAGUUUGUUCUGUGUAAGGGUACAGAUUACUGUUUUAUUUCUGGAUUUGUGUGUGUGUGUGUGUGUGUGUGUCUACCGGCUGCAAUGGUAUCAUUUGAAGUCAGAGCGGUCUGUGUUUUCACUGAUAAGCAGGUGAUUGAUACCCAGCCUUACAAACUCUUCCUAUCAAUAUCCAUAUUGAUGCUGUGAAGAACAGGA